rnacentral:rRNA from 1 species
GAACUGAAGAGUUUGAUCAUGGCUCAGAUUGAACGCUGGCGGCAGGCCUAACACAUGCAAGUCGAGCGGAUGAAGGGAGCUUGCUCCUGGAUUCAGCGGCGGACGGGUGAGUAAUGCCUAGGAAUCUGCCUGGUAGUGGGGGAUAACGUCCGGAAACGGGCGCUAAUACCGCAUACGUCCUGAGGGAGAAAGUGGGGGAUCUUCGGACCUCACGCUAUCAGAUGAGCCUAGGUCGGAUUAGCUAGUUGGUGGGGUAAAGGCCUACCAAGGCGACGAUCCGUAACUGGUCUGAGAGGAUGAUCAGUCACACUGGAACUGAGACACGGUCCAGACUCCUACGGGAGGCAGCAGUGGGGAAUAUUGGACAAUGGGCGAAAGCCUGAUCCAGCCAUGCCGCGUGUGUGAAGAAGGUCUUCGGAUUGUAAAGCACUUUAAGUUGGGAGGAAGGGCAGUAAGUUAAUACCUUGCUGUUUUGACGUUACCAACAGAAUAAGCACCGGCUAACUUCGUGCCAGCAGCCGCGGUAAUACGAAGGGUGCAAGCGUUAAUCGGAAUUACUGGGCGUAAAGCGCGCGUAGGUGGUUCAGCAAGUUGGAUGUGAAAUCCCCGGGCUCAACCUGGGAACUGCAUCCAAAACUACUGAGCUAGAGUACGGUAGAGGGUGGUGGAAUUUCCUGUGUAGCGGUGAAAUGCGUAGAUAUAGGAAGGAACACCAGUGGCGAAGGCGACCACCUGGACUGAUACUGACACUGAGGUGCGAAAGCGUGGGGAGCAAACAGGAUUAGAUACCCUGGUAGUCCACGCCGUAAACGAUGUCGACUAGCCGUUGGGAUCCUUGAGAUCUUAGUGGCGCAGCUAACGCGAUAAGUCGACCGCCUGGGGAGUACGGCCGCAAGGUUAAAACUCAAAUGAAUUGACGGGGGCCCGCACAAGCGGUGGAGCAUGUGGUUU